GCCAGGGAAGGAGGGAUAGCUUAGGCGGACCAGCGGAAGAGUGGAUCAUAAUUGGUUUUUGUACAACAGUUUUCGGGACUGGAAACAAUAUAUGCAAUGUUAUGAGUUGGUCAAGUUGGCAACACUGCAGUGGAGACUCUUCCGCCGAGGUAGAAACAGGAGGGGGAGAAGGGAGAGGAGAGAGAGAGAGGGAGGAAGGAAUAGAGGGAGGGGAUGUUACGUCGAUUCCCCUGAAGACAAGUGGAAUAGAACGGAAUAACAAGUGGAUGGAUGGGUGAAUGGAAGCAAUAGACAUCACAGCUGGGAAUAGACAGAGGUUAAACAUACACUAAGCAAUGUAGCAUAUGGUAAAAAUCAGGGAUGUAUGGAUAGCCUAUAGAUAAAUUUACUUAGCAAUGCGUUAGACAAAUAUAAACAUGUAUUAGGCAAAGCUUUAACUAGCAUAAGGCAGCUGGGUUAGGUUAGAACAUGUAUAGAUCAAUAGAGUGGGCACUGGGCUAUGUUAAGUGGGUAUAUGGGUCUACCUAACAGGCUGAGGAUUGGAAGGCGUUAACACUAGGCUACUAUAGAGGAAAUGUAUCGAACAAUGGAAAUAGAGGAAGGGUUUGAACUGGAUUGAGGAAGAUGGAGAAGGGUCAUUGCCAAGUCCGACCCCAGGAACAGGUGGACUAUGAAAAGACUGGACUAAUACAUGUACUAAGAGUGGCCAAGAUUGAGCUCAUCCCAGGUAACUUGUGGGUAGGUUUAGAUAAGGCUGCAAGGUUGAAUUAUACUGAGCUUGAAGGUUAAGUUAGGUUAGACUAAGUUUAGAAUAGAAUCAGAUUAGGUCAACUUACAGCUUGGUUAGGUUUUACGAUAAGGUUACCUAAUAUCCAGUAUAGCUUAGUUUGGUUAGGUCACAGUAAGACUUGGCUAGGAAAAGGUUAAGUUAGGUUAGGUUAAGUUUAGAAUAGAAUCAGAUUAGGUCAACUUACAGCUUGGUCAGGUUUUAGGAUAAGGUUAGCUUAGAUCCAUCAUAGCUUGGUUUGGUUAAGUUAACAUUAGAUUAAGUUACAGUAAGAUCUGAAGAGAGAAAGGUUAAGUUAGGUUAAGUUUAGAAUAGAAUCAGAUUAGGUCAACUUACAGCUUGGUUAGG